rnacentral:rRNA from 1 species
CGGACGGUAGCACAGAGGAGCUUGCUCCUUGGGUGACGAGUGGCGGACGGGUGAGUAGUGUCUGGGGAUCUGCCCGAUAGAGGGGGAUAACCACUGGAAACGGUGGCUAAUACCGCAUAACGUCGCAAGACCAAAGAGGGGGACCUUCGGGCCUCUCACUAUCGGAUGAACCCAGAUGGGAUUAUCUAGUAGGCGGGGUAGUGGCCCACCUAGGCGACGAUCCCUAUCUGGUCUGAGAGGAUGACCACCCACACUGGAACUGAGACACGGUCCACACUCCUACGGGAGGCAGCAGUGGGGAAUAUUGCACAGUGGGCGCAAGCCUGAUGCACCCGUGCCGCGUGUAUGAAAAAGGCCUUCGGGUUGUAAAGUACUUUCAGCGGGGAGGAAGGCGACGGGGUUAAUAACCGUGUCGAUUGACGUUACCCGCAAAAGAAGCACCGGCUAACUCCGUGCCAGCACCCGCGGUAAUACGGAGGGUGCAAGCGUUAAUCGGAAUUACUGGGCGUAAAGCGCACGCAGGCGGUCUGUUAAGUCAGAUGUGAAAUCCCCGGGCUUAACCUGGGAACUGCUUUUGAAACUGGCAGGCUUGACUCUUGUAGAGGGGGGUAGAAUUCCGGGUGUAGCGGUGAAAUGCGUAGAGAUCUGGAAGAAUACCGGUGGCGAAGGCGGCCCCCUGGACAAAGACUGACGCUCAUGUGCGAGAGCGUGGAGAGCACACAGGAUUAUAUACUCUGGUACUCCACGCCGUAC